rnacentral:tRNA from 1 species
UCCCUGGUGGCUCAGAGGUUAAAGCAUCUGCCUACAAUGCAGGAGACCCAGGUUCGAUCCCUGGGUCAGGAAG